rnacentral:lncRNA from 1 species
AAUAAUAUCUCUAUAAUUUUUCCGACUGAAACAAGUGACAAAGAGUUUGGUGGUUGAUAUUCGGUUGAUAUUCGAGACCCAAGUUCGAAUCUUAAUUAAUUCAUAUUUCAAACUAAGUUUAUUUCUAAAUUAAAUAAAUGAAACAGAUAGUGUGCUACCUAUCUCUCUAAAAAACAAAAAAUUCCUGUAAUUUCAAUUUUUUUAUAUUAGUAUUUUAUAAUUUUACUUUUCUUUGUUAUUUCUUUUUUUUUUUCAUUAAAUCAGUAACAAAGUUAAAAUUAUAUAAUACUAAAAUAAAAAAUCAAUAAACUACGUAAUACUAAAAUGAAUAUUCGAUAAACCAUAUGUGUAGUGUCUAAAAUUUUUUUGUAUAUAAUUUAACAAAAAGUUAACGAAGAUACUAUCGAUAAAAAAUAAAAUUAUAGUGAGAAAGUGUGAAAUCACAUGGAUUGUAUUUAAAAUAAAGAGAAAACUUCAAAUACCACCUCUGUACGUGGUUUCACACUUUCUCAUUUUAUAUCAUGUGGUUUAAAGUAUAUCAAUUUAGUAUUCUGUGGUUUCAUUUUUAUUUUUUUAUUAUCAAUUUAUUUAUUUUUUUUGUUAAAUUAGUGAUAAAUUAAAUGGUACUAAAGUGAAUAUUCGAUAAAUCUAGAUAAGGUAUCUGCAAGUUUUUUAUAUAUAAUUUAACGAAAUAUUAACGAAGAAGCUAACGAAAAGAUAAAAAUGAAACAUAGGACACUAACUUGAUACAGUUUAAACUAUAUGAUACUAAAGUGAGAAACGGUGAAACUAUAAGGGUGGUAUUUGAAGUUUAUCCUAAAAUCAAUGAAUAAACUAUUCGG